rnacentral:tRNA from 1 species
UGGCUUAACUGGCAAAGAACCUGCCUGUAAUGCAGGAGACCUGGGUUCAAUCCCUAG